rnacentral:tRNA from 1 species
UGGGUGAAUGGCUGAGUGGUUUAAAGCGUCAAUUUUGAAAAUUGUUAUGGAUAGUAUUCAUCGUGAGUUCAAAUCUUACUUCAUCCGA